rnacentral:rRNA from 1 species
UACAGAGGGGGCAAGCGUUGUUCGGAAUUACUGGGCGUAAAGGGCGCGUAGGCGGCCUUCUAAGUCGAACGUGAAAUCCCCGGGCUCAACCCGGGAACUGCGUCCGAGACUGGAAGGCUUGAAUCCGGGAGAGGGAUGUGGGAUUCCAGGUGUAGCGGUGAAAUGCGUAGAUAUCUGGAGGAACAUCGGUGGCGAAGGCGGCAUCCUGGACCGGUAUUGACGCUGAGGCGCGAAAGCUAGGGGAGCAAACGGG